AUUGAACGCUGGCGGCAGGCCUAACACAUGCAAGUCGAGCGGAUCGGCGGACGGGUGAGUAAUGCCUAGGAAUCGGCCUAGUAGUGGGGGAUGACGUCAGCAAACGGGCGCUAAUUCCGCAUACUCUCAGAUGAGCCUAGGUCGGAUUAGCUAUUUGGUGGGGUAAGGGCAUACCAAGGCGACGAUCCGUAACUGGUCUGAGAGGAUGAUCAGUCACACUGGGACUGAGACACGGUCCAGACUCCGACGGGAGGCAGCAGUGGGGAAUAUUGGACAAUGGGCGAAAGCCUGAUGCAGCCAUGCCGCGUGUGUGAAGAAGGUCUUCGGAUUGUAAAGCACUUUAAGUUGGGAGGCGUUACCAACAGAAUAAGCACCGGCUAACUCCGUGCCAGCAGCCGCGGUAAUAC
rnacentral:rRNA from 1 species